GUCCUUUAAGGCGUGCGUAGCGAAGCUAACGCGCUAAGUAGACCGCCUGGGGAGUACGGCCGCAAGGUUAAAACUCAAAUGAAUUGACGGGGGCCCGCACAAGCGGUGGAGCAUGUGGAUUAAUUCGAUGAUACGCGAGGAACCUUACCCGGGCUUGAAUUGCAGAGGAAAGAUCCAGAGAUGGAGAUGCCCUUCGGGGCCUCUGUGAAGGUGCUGCAUGGUU
rnacentral:rRNA from 1 species